rnacentral:ncRNA from 1 species
GAGAGCACAGUACAAUGAAAGUUGUGAGUUGUGCUCGGGGGGGGAGUUAUUGUCUAUCGUUGGCCUCUAUGGUAGAAUUAGUUGGGGAGGCAUAAGAGAUGGUGGUUUACCCCGU